rnacentral:tRNA from 1 species
GUUCUUAUAGUUGAAAUACAACAGCGGUUUUUCGAGCCGCCGGUUUCAGUUAAAAUCUGUAUGAGAAUU